UGGUGGCACAGCCUGUGGAGCGCUCAGCGGUGGCGAUGGUGCCGGCCCAGGCCUGGGAGCUGUGCGGCGCAGUGAGGCGCGCUGAGUUGUGUGGUUUCACCCAUAGACUGGACGUCUUUCUGUGACCGAAGGAGCAGCGGUGAGGAGUGAGCAGAGAUCAGAAAAAGAAGGGUUGACUGUUUAUGGAGUUAUAGUAAAACACAUAAACAGAGAUAAUUCUACCUUCUAGAGCGGUACACUAUCACCCAGCCAUGCCUGUAGAAGGAAAAAGUGAUAUGGAGAGGAUUGGCCUCUUCAGUGAAAUGAGCUAUAUUACCAUUGGAGAUAAAUAUGUAUCACAUUAUAUGCGCCCUUUUAAUGAAGCUGCAAGCAGGAACAGACAGAUGCUAUCUGAGGGGAGCAAAACAUUGUCAGCUCUUCAGGCAGGUUAUUUUGACCCUCAGUUUAAGAGGAUUUUCACUGGUGAAGCCUACUCAAAUCCUGUUCAACUAAGGAGACGUUAUAGAUUGGCAGAAUCAAAGAAAAAUUUGGGCAAAGCUUUCCUUCCCAGUAAUGGAGAUAAAUUGCCAUGUGGACUAGGUAGCUAUUAUGGAACCAUAGGAGGUCCGUUUGCAUACUUCAGUGCACAACUGAAAGCCAGAGAAAGAUACAUUCCUCCUGGAAAGAAUCUUUAUACUAGUCCAGGAAAAAAAGGAACUGGAUAUGGUUAUGCAAAUCUUACUAUAGGUGAGCAAUAUCCACAUGAAGCGGAUGGCUAUGAAUUAGAAAAAAUAAUUGCAAAGAAAGCACGAGAGGAACACAAGCGUUUGGCUAAAGGAGGGCCUUUCAAGACAAAUAUGUACCCCCUGGAGUAUUUUGACAUGAAUCCCUAUUUUAACGACAAACCUUUGCCACCUGUGAAGAAACCACCUCCAGAGAAGCGAAUUGCACCACCUUUCAGACCAAGUUCCCCUGCUAAGAAGUUAGGGGGCAUGAAAGGUGGCACAUUUGAUCCUUAUCCAAGCCAUUCUGCUGACCCUUAUGUAACCAAAAAAACUAUGGCUGCCUCAUCCAGUAAAGAACAAAAGGUUUUUCAUCCUCCUCCUGGACCGAAAAGCAGACCUGUUACAAGUAUAAUCACUCAAAAUGUCUUAAGGUGGACUACAGGAGAAGCAUGUAGCAUGUCUGGAUGUUCUCCACCUGCUCUCUCAAGAUGAUCACAGCAGCUUUAGAAAAGGAGCAGCCACCAAUAGCUCUGCAGCUCUCAUGGGAUGCAGUUAAGCCCACUAUAGUUUAUCUUGGUACGGGAUAUGUUACAUCCUGCAGAAAAUCUGUGGUAAGACAAGACGUAUGAAAGAUUCUGAAGCACUGUGCAGAAUUCUGCAGAAGAAUGUGUAACAGAGAGUGGGAAGAGCAAAAUUAUGCCUUACUGUAUGAAGUGAUGCACUCCUGCUGGACCAAAUGGAAGACACGACGGGAGUACUGAGACUUUAUCAGUUUGUUUUUUAGGGGCUGCACUUUUUUUCCUUCGGAAAGGCACUGGGCUGACUAGGAAUGCUAUCUUGGAGAGGCCAGAUUCUGCCUCCUGUCUCCUUGGAUCUUCAGCAGGUUCUUGUUUAGCCCUUUCAUGUUUCAACAUGGUGGUGAAGCGGGUGUAGGACGCUGGGCAUCUCCCUUUGCAGGAGCUGAUGAGAUGCCUGUGAUGGUGGUGGUGGUGGUGGUGGUGAUGGCCCGAUCCAUAAAAGCUUUCAGAUGAUGUGAAGGAAUAGUGAUCGAAGUCACUUUCACUACAAAAGGAUGACCCCUCUAUCUGGAUAAAGUCACUGAGGUCAGAAACCACUCCAUCUUGAUCACUGUCUGAGAAAUCCAUAUGUGACCGCUGUGGCUCAUCACUGGUCACUUCAAUAUGAAUUGGCACCAGGGUUUUAGACUUGUAGCUCCGUUGUACCUGAGAGGGAUGUCUGACUUCAUUUUCUUCUUCCAGCAGAGACUCGAUAGAAAAUCGCCGCUGUGAACAUAAGCCAUUUUUAGGAGGCUCUAGUGUAAUGUUUGACAACAUUUCAUCACCUAGAUUUGGCAUUGAUUUUGACUUCUGAAUUAGUUUUUCAAAUUCCGAUAUUCUGGUUGGCACCAUAUCUCUGGGCACCUCUUCCGUAGAAGAUUCUCUCCAGCCCUGAAGGAUACCUUUAUGCUGUUCUUUUUCAUACUGCAGUAUUCUGGACUUCACAGAACAGAUCACCUCCGAGUUCAUCAAGUCCUUGCGAUUGAUACGAUGCAUCUUUUUGUACAUUUUAAGGAAACCUGGGGCAUCGUGCGCAGAUCUGUGACGAACUCUUGCCCUACCACCACCACGGCCCUCAGGUGCAUAUGGGGAUGCCCAGUUCAUUGAGCAAACCUCUUUAGCAUCCUCCUCACAUAGAAGAGAGACCAUGCUUUCAGACUUGGCCUGUGCAUCGGGAAAGCCAUCCCGAUCAUCUGUUAAAAGAUCAUCACAGCUACGAGAUUUUCUCUUUGGAGAAGUGGUUUCUUCUGUGCUGCUCCAUACUUCUGCAUUUUGUCGAGUCAUUUGCCAGCCAUUCUUGUAGCUGAUUGCCCUCCUUGAAUCAUUAGGAACAGCUAAAUGUUGUCUGUAAGUGCUACAGUAAUCUAAUUCAUUUGAGGUGUUGUGGUUGUGCACUGAAUAACUGAGGAGGGAUGGAUAUACUUUGCUAAUAUCCCCACCUUUAUAAUCCAUAGAGCAGCAUGAUAAAAGAGAGACAUUGCCAGAAAUUAAAAGAUUCAGAAAGUUGGAAUUAAUAUCAGUAAGUAUCAGAAAGACUAGAAAAGAGACAGCCAUUAGUGCAUCUGUUCUGUCAGCUUUGAACAGCACAUACGUUUCUACAGACCAGGACUGCAGAGCUAAUGAACCAUUUUCCAGCUUUAAUAACACACUUAUGAUAAUUUGAACAUUGAAAAAAAUAAAUCCAAAUUCCUUAAGAAUUGUGGUGAUGUCCGCCUCCCAAACAAAAACAAAACAGUGUAAGAAAACAACUAUCAAUAUUGAUCAUGAAGUAGGUAAAAAAAAAAAAAAAAAAGAUGAAGUCAAACCAAAAAUCUAGACUCCAGAAUUAUAACUUUGAGAUAAAUUGUUUUAUCCCUAGAGCUAAGACCAUCACUUUUUAUGUUUAAAUAGAUCACUUUUUUUUUUCCCCUGUGGUAAUCAAAUUAAAUGAUAAGUACAGAAAGUGUAAAAAUUGGACAAAAUUUGUAUCUCUUAGUUAAUUUAAAUUUCUUAUUAGUAUAUGCUGAGUUUAAGAAAUUAUUCCAUUAUACAUUCUUAACUAUGUUUCAAACACUGGCUUAACUAUAUUUCAAAAAUGUGUAUUCUGAAUGCUGUACAGAGUUUUUGAUCUGAUUAAUGUUCAGACAGUUGACAGGUGGUGCAGUAAAAAGUAAAUGCAGGUGAACCGAGUUUACCACCUUUUCACUGUCUGCCCUGGUGCACCAAAUGGAUGAGAUUAUUUUUUAAUUUACUGAUCUUAACAGUGGUUUUAAAAAAAAUCUGUUCUUCUAUCACUUCAUUCUUAGUAUUUCUCACUGUUUUUCUUUGAUACAAGGAUGGGUAUUGUAGUAGAUAGUGCUCUGUAUAUUACAUCCAUCAUAUAUUUUGCUGGAAACCUUUUGUCUUGCUAAUAAAAACACCUAAAACUCCCAAACUGCUAUUAUGGAAACACAUCUUUAAUCUCACGUAGCAUUUGUCCUGAUUUAUUUUCUCCAUAUCCUAAGAACAGUAUAAUAAG